UUGGCCUCAUCUUUGGCAUAUGUUUGUGAAUGAUAAAUAUGUUAUCUUUGGGAGCUAAAGUCUGUAGAGGUAUGGAAGUAAAUAAUCUUAUUAUCAACACUAGCUAAAGUUGCUGAUUUUAUUAAAAAGGGGUCAAAGAUAACUAUCAAAAGCACCCAGGAUACAACAAAAGAUCAUGAAACUGAAGUUCUGUGGUACUCUUUCACAAAUCAUCAGAUGCCUAAGCAUUCUUUUAUCCUUUGGUUACGAGAUUCAUUAAGUCUAUUGGCAAAUAAGAUAAUUUGAUAUCAUGUGCCAGAAUUUGUAGAUUGCAUUUUGAACAUGAGCUUUGAUAAUUUGUCUUCUUUGUCAAUGUUUUGAAAGAUGUAUUUUAACAGGAUUUUGAGUGGAUCUUUCCUUAUUGUGGGAAUGGUUUAUUUUUUUGGAGCACAUGUGAUAGGGCUUCUUUGCUGCUAUCGACUAUCAUGGCUGCAUACAAGACUUUCUUGGUUCAUAGAAUGGAAUUUGGUAGGAAUGGAAUAGCUGUUCAUGGUAAUUGAGCAGCUAUUCUUCACUUAUAUUUUGCAUUUAUAUGACUCUAAUUUAAAAAAGUAUUUAUUGUAUAUAAUGAUAUUGCACAUUUUAAAAUUUAACAAAAAAAUUUGCUAUUCCAUGAAAUGGUAUUCCACAUUUAAAUUUGAACCAAAUUUAGGAAUAGCUAUUCAACAUGGAAUAACCAUUUUAUUCCUAACCUAUUCCAUGCUAUUCCGCAAAUCAAAGAAUGCCCAAGGGGGAAGGAGUGUUGUAGCAGAGGUCUGAUCUACAAAUGGAAGCCAUAGUCCUCAUAGUGACAGGUUAUUGUGCUGGAAUUCUUCAGAUCAUAUGAAGUAGAGAAUAUUGCAAUUAAUAGGAAACUUCUAGAAGCUUUGAUUGCCUUUAGAUUUUGUGUUCAGAGUUGUUUUAUCUUAAAGAUGGGAGCAUGCAAAAGUAGGUUAACGGAUGCUGGAUAUAGAUUUCUCUCUUGGUAAAAAAAUUUGGAGGAUGUGUUGAGGGAGUUUCAAGAAAUUCUUCGAAUUGUUCUGGCUUAUGUUUGUAUGACCCCUCUUGAAACUUUUAUCAUUCAUGUUCUUCAAUUAUCAGGAUUAAAGUGUAGCCAAGCAGCAUGACGUGCAAAAGAAUACUGAUUGCUAGCAACUUAAUUCCUGUUACAAAAAAAGAUCUAACCGUGCCCCGUGCAGGAUUCUUCAUGGCUAGGCCAACUUGUCAGGAACUUCAAAAGGGAGGAGAAAUCAAUGUGGGCUUGUAGAGAAUGUAUUAUUUUGAGUCUUUAUCUCCAUCUAUUGUACAGUUAGGAAUAUUAUUUAUCUGUAUGGUUUGAAUAGUGUCCCUCAAGGGGCUAGGGGUAUCGUUUUAAAGACAGUAAUGAGCUUGUGUAUACUUGCCAACUCUCUUAAGCAUACCAAUGAUAAAAUCCAUGAGCCAUAAUGCAGCCCAUGUCAAGAAGAUUUGAAAAUUACCAAGUUCUCUUGAUUCAAAAUGUAGAAGUUUUGGUUUUCUAAUCAAGGAAAAAAAAAAAAUCAUCACGCUAGAAACAAGUUCAAGUGGCACUCAUGUUAAAAUUGGAAGCUUUUCUUAGAUUUGUGGUUUUCAUCUUUUUUUAAAGAGUAGCAGGUCAUAAACAUAAAGACUCAUUUGUGGACAGAGGGGUGUUCUUUGUAAAAUACAUGUGUUAGUGUGGGUAGCCUCUGCCUUUAUCAUUUUGCUAUCUCUCUCUCUCUCUCAUUGAAAAAGAGAAAGAACAUUACCAAAACCAAAAUCAAAGCAGACAAACAAUCUUCAAAUGGUAUACGCGUCUCUCUACAAAUACCCUUUGCCUUCCUCUUUGCCACCUCUCUCUCCUUUCUCCAUUAAAGCUGAGAGAAGAACUGUCUAGUCCCUCUCUGUUUCUUCUUCUCUUCAUGGGUGCUAAUCUUUCUUCUGUGUUCGUAGACCCGAAUGCUUUGUCUCUUUAUGGUUAUUUAUCGUCUCAAUCAUCAACGUCAAACCCAACUCUUGGAGACUUACCAGAAAGCUGUGUUGCUUCGAUUAUUGCUUAUUUAGACCCGCCAGAGAUAUGCAAAUUAGCAAGAUUGAACAGAGCAUUUCGUGGAGCUUCUUGGGCUGAUUUUGUAUGGGAAUCUAAAUUGCCUACGAAUUAUGUUCGUCUUAUUCAAAGAGUUCUUGGUGAUGAUUUGCCAAGAAAUAUUAGUAGGAGAGAAAUCUAUACCAGGCUGUGUAGAGCUAACACUUUUGAUGGUGGUACCAAGAAAGUAUGGCUAGAUAAGAUUACUGGUGGUGUCUGCUUAUCCAUUUCUUCGAAGGGAUUAGCGAUUACUGGAAUCGAUGACAGAAGGUAUUGGAAUCAUAUUCCAACCGAAGAAUCUAGGUGAGUUUUACAGAAACAAUCUCUUGUACAUAUUUUUGGAAAAUGAAUUUGGAAGAUAGCUAGAUUUUUCAUUAUUUAUUUGUUAGAUUGGCUGUUCAAGUUCAAGUUGACAGGGGCAUUUUCUUGUGGAGAUCCUUCGAAGUAGGUCCUUUUUUUUCUAAUGUUCAUAUGGAUUCUAUGAAUCUUUAUUUCAGUGAAUGGUAUUUGAAAGAAUUCAGAUUCUGUGAACUGUGUUUUAUUCGGUUCUUGAUUUUGCAAACUCGUUUCUCCAUAAGCAUAGAAAUGGAUUGAUUUAUUGAGAAAUAUAAAUUAGUAUUGGAAUUGAUCUUGAGUCCCUUUUUUUUUCUGUAUGCAGAUUCGACUCUGUUGCAUAUCUUCAGCAAAUCUGGUGGUUUGAGGUUGAUGGGCAGUUUGAAUUCCCAUUUCCAGCAGGAACCUACAGCAUAUUCGUCAGGUUGCAAUUGGGGAGAGCUGCCAAGAGGUACGGUCGCCGAACCUGCAACACAGAGCACGUCCAUGGUUGGGAUAUAAAACCUGUGAGGUUUCAGCUAUGGACUUCUGAUGGUCAGUAUGCCUCUUCUCAGUGUUUUUUAAGUGAUCCUGGGAAAUGGAAUCUCUACCAUGUUGGGGACUUUGUUGUUGACACUUCCAAUCCAUCUAUGAACCUUAAAUUCUCUAUGACCCAGAUCGAUUGCACACACACCAAAGGUGGUCUUUGUUUGGACUCUGUAGUAGUAUACCCAUGUAAACUUAUAGAAGGGUUAAAGCAUUUUUGAUCUGCAUGUAACCUUGUAUACAGGAUAUUCUACAUUAGGGGAUCUCCAGGAGAGAGCAGAGUCUGAGGAGUAGUUUCAUUUAUAGGCCUUGUAUCAGUUGUAUUUAGGCAGUGUGAAUAUUGCCAUUUUUGCUUGUUGAUAAGUGUUUCUUCUUCUCUCUUUCUUGUAUAUAAGAAUGAAGUCAGUGCUGCAUUAAGUCAUUUGGUCUUGUUAAAAUUCAUAUAACUGUUAUGUUUUGGACCAGUUUUCAAAAGCUAGCAGGAGAUUUUAUUAGAAUCUUCUGAAUUUGGUGGAACGAACAGAGUUCUGAUGUAUGAUAAAAGUGGGAAAAGAAAAAAUCAAUAAAUGGGUAUUCUGUUUUACUUUGGCUGUUUCUAGCUUUCUACCUGUCUGUCUUUGGUCCACCAAUUUGUGGCGAGAAAGCCUCCCAGCUGUUGUGUUCAACCAGCAAUACUGCAUGCACGGUUCUUAUUGACAGCCAGCUGGUGGGAUGGUACUAAUUUGUAGUUUCCUAUGACAAUUUGACAUACAGCCAUCCCCACCGAGAACCAAUUAUUAUUUUAAAAAUUUUCCUGGCAUUCUUUCAUGAGAGAUACCAUUGUACUAUUUUUUUGAAUAGUGCCUAACAUGAGUCAAUAGUCACAAGCUAGAGACUUAAC
rnacentral:misc_RNA from 1 species